rnacentral:rRNA from 1 species
UACGUAGGUGGCAAGCGUUAUCCGGAAUUAUUGGGCGUAAAGCGCGCGCAGGCGGUUUCUUAAGUCUGAUGUGAAAGCCCACGGCUCAACCGUGGAGGGUCAUUGGAAACUGGGGAACUUGAGUGCAGAAGAGAAAAGCGGAAUUCCACGUGUAGCGGUGAAAUGCGUAGAGAUGUGGAGGAACACCAGUGGCGAAGGCGGCUUACUGGUCCAUAACUGACGCUGAGGUGCGAAAGCGUGGGGAGCAAACAGG